rnacentral:rRNA from 1 species
UACGUAGGGGGCAAGCGUUGUCCGGAUUCAUUGGGCGUAAAGAGCGUGUAGGCGGCCAGGUAGGUCGGUUGUGAAAACUGGAGGCUCAACCUUCAGAGGUCGACCCAAACCCCCUGGCUAGAGUCCGGAAGAGGAGAGUGGAAUUCCUGGUGUAGCGGUGAAAUGCGCAGAUAUCAGGAAGAACACCCGUGGCGAAGGCGGCUCUCUGGGACGGUACUGACGCUGAGACGCGAAAGCGUGGGGAGCGAACAGG